GCGGGUGGCACUGAGACCUCUGGAAUAACAUUGGAGUGGGCUAUGUCCGAGCUCUUAAAUAAUCCCGAAACUAUGAGAAAGGCACAGCUAGAGGUUCGACAAGUGGUAGGUCAGCAACAAUCUGUCAUAACUAACAAUGACCUUCGUGACCUCCACUACAUGAGAAUGGUGAUCAAGGAGGUCUUGAGGUUGCACCCUCCCGCUCCUAUACUCCCCCGAAGGGCAAGAGAAGACUGUGAAAUCAUGGGAUAUAAAAUUUCUGAAGGCACCAACGUACAGGUUAAUAUAUUCGCGAUAUGUCGGGAUUGCAGAUAUUGGGAUGCCCCCGAUACAUUUAAGCCAGAGAGGUUCAAAGAGAGCAGCAUAGAUUACAAGGGGACACAUUUUGAGAUCACACCUUUCGGGGCCGGGAGACGUCAGUGUCCUGGUAUGUUGUUUGGCACAUCAACCGUGGAGAUUGCAUUGGCAAACCUUCUGUACCACUUUGACUGGGUGAACCCUGCUGAGCCCAAUCCGGGCUCGUUGGACAUGUCCCAGAAGUUCGGGAUCAAUGUACGUAGAAAGUUCGAUUUAGAGAUUAGAGCAACCUCACAUGUCCACUCCAAAGUUGCAUAG
rnacentral:rRNA from 1 species